rnacentral:rRNA from 1 species
CCUACGGGUGGCAGCAGUCGAGAAUCAUUCACAAUGGGGGAAACCCUGAUGGUGCGACGCCGCGUGGGGGAAUGAAGGUCUUCGGAUUGUAAACCCCUGUCAUGUGGGAGCAAAUUAAAAAGAUAGUACCACAAGAGGAAGAGACGGCUAACUCUGUUCCAGCAGCCGCGGUAAUCCAGAGGUCUCAAGCGUUGUUCGUAAUCACUGGGCGUAAAGCGUUCGGAGGCUGUUGCGUAGGUCGUGUGUGAAAGGCGCGGGUUAAACCCGCGGAGGCACAUGAUACUGCGAGACUAGAGUAAUGGAGGGGGAACCGGAAUUCGCGGUGUAGCAGUGAAAUGCGUAGAUAUCGAGAGGAACACUCGUGGCGAAGGCGGGUUCCUGGACAGUAACUGACGCUGAGGCACGAAGGCCAGGGGAGCGAAAGGGAUUAGAUACCCCUGUAGUC